rnacentral:rRNA from 1 species
UACAGAGGUCUCAAGCGUUGUUCGGAUUCAUUGGGCGUAAAGGGUGCGUAGGCGGCGCGGUAAGUCGGGUGUGCAAAUCAUCGGGAGCGUUAACUCCGAAACUGCAUUCGAUACUGCCGUGCUUGAGGACUGGAGAGGAGACUGGAAUUUACGGUGUAGCGGUGAAAAUGCGUAGAUAUCGUAAGGAAGACCAGUGGCGAAAGGCGGGGUCUCUGGGCCGUAAACUGACGCUGAGGAGCGAAAGCAUGGGGAGCGAACAGG